rnacentral:rRNA from 1 species
UAGCAUAUCAAUAAGCGGAGGAAAAGAAACCAACCGGGAUUGCCUCAGUAACGGCGAGUGAAGCGGCAAGAGCUCAAAUUUGAAAGCUGGCUCCUUCGGGGUCCGCAUUGUAAUUUGCAGAGGAUGCUUCGGGUGCGGCCCCUGUCUAAGUGCCCUGGAACGGGCCGUCAGAGAGGGUGAGAAUCCCGUCUGGGAUGGGGUGUCCGCGCCCGUGUGAAGCUCCUUCGACGAGUCGAGUUGUUUGGGAAUGCAGCUCUAAAUGGGUGGUAAAUUUCAUCUAAAGCUAAAUACUGGCCGGAGACCGAUAGCGCACAAGUAGAGUGAUCGAAAGAUGAAAAGCACUUUGAAAAGAGAGUUAAAAAGCACGUGAAAUUGUUGAAAGGGAAGCGCUUGCGACCAGACUCGCCUCCAGGGUUCAGCCGGCAUUCGUGCCGGUGUACUUCCCUGGGGGCGGGCCAGCGUCGGUUUGGGCGGCCGGUCAAAGGCUCCCGGAAUGUAGUGCCCUCCGGGGCACCUUAUAGCCGGGAGUGCAAUGCGGCCAGCCUGGACCGAGGAACGCGCUUCGGCACGGACGCUGGCAUAAUGGUCGUAAACGACCCGUCUUGAAACACGGACCAAGGAGUCUAACAUCUACGCGAGUGUUCGGGUGUCAAACCCGUACGCGCAGUGAAAGCGAACGGAGGUGGGAGCCCCCUCGUGGGGCGCACCAUCGACCGAUCCUGAUGUCUUCGGAUGGAUUUGAGUAAGAGCGUAAAUGUGGGGACCCGAAAGAUGGUGAACUAUGCCUGAAUAGGGCGAAGCCAGAGGAAACUCUGGUGGAGGCUCGCAGCGGUUCUGACGUGCAAAUCGAUCGUCAAAUUUGGGUAUAGGGGCGAAAGACUAAUCGAACCAUCUAGUAGCUGGUUCCUGCCAA